CCAAGACUGGUAGAGGACUGGAGACUUUCCAGAGGCAACCCUGAGAGGGAUGGGCUCUUCCCCAGGAGAGUAAAAUAUAAAAUCAAUGCAGCAUUGACACAUAAACCCUGAAGUAAGAUGUCUUCUUGAAACAUCAGGAGGAAAGGACCUAUUUCCCUUGUUCUUGGCCACCCGGAUUUCCGUCUGGAUGUUCGUGCGAUCGGUCUGAAAUUCAACGCUUUGAACUCCAGAAGGAA
rnacentral:lncRNA from 1 species